rnacentral:piRNA from 1 species
GACAAAGCGUGCACUGGGACUGUAAGU